rnacentral:tRNA from 1 species
GGAGAGAUGGCUCAGUGGUUAAGAGCACUGGCUGCUCUUCCAGAGGACUUGGGUUCAAUUCCCAGAAUCCA